rnacentral:tRNA from 1 species
GGAAGGGUGGCAGAGUGGACGAUUGCGACGGUCUUGAAAACCGUUGUGCCAGCGAUGGCACCGUGGGUUCGAAUCCCACCCCUUCCG